GACGAACGCUGGCGGCGUGCUUAACACAUGCAAGUCGAGCGGUAAGGCCCUUUCGGGGGUACACGAGCGGCGAACGGGUGAGUAACACGUGGGUGACCUGCCCUCAGCUCUGGGAUAAGCCUGGGAAACCGGGUCGUAAUACUGGAUAUGACUCCAUGACGCAUGUUGUGGGGUGGAAAGUCUUGUGCGGCUGAGGAUGGGCCCGCGGCCUAUCAGCUUGUUGGUGGGGUGANGGCCUACCAAGGCGACGACGGGUAGCCGGCCUGAGAGGCGACCGGCCACACUGGGAUUGAGACACGGCCCAGACUCCUACGGAGGCAGCAGUGGGGAAUCUUCGCGCAAUGGGCGAAAGCCUGACGCAGCGACGCCGC
rnacentral:rRNA from 1 species